rnacentral:rRNA from 1 species
GAUGAACGCUGGCGGCGUGCCUAAUACAUGCAAGUCGAGCGAACAGACGAGGAGCUUGCUCCUCUGACGUUAGCGGCGGACGGGUGAGUAACACGUGGAUAACCUACCUAUAAGACUGGGAUAACUUCGGGAAACCGGAGCUAAUACCGGAUAAUAUAUUGAACCGCAUGGUUCAAUAGUGAAAGACGGUUUUGCUGUCACUUAUAGAUGGAUCCGCGCCGCAUUAGCUAGUUGGUAAGGUAACGGCUUACCAAGGCGACGAUGCGUAGCCGAGCUGAGAGGAGGAUCGGCGACACUGGAACUGAGACACGGUCCAGACUCCUACGGGAGGCAGCAGUAGGGAAUCUUCCGCAAUGGGCGAAAGCCUGACGGAGCAACGCCGCGUGAGUGAUGAAGGUCUUCGGAUCGUAAAACUCUGUUAUUAGGGAAGAACAAAUGUGUAAGUAACUAUGCACGUCUUGACGGUACCUAAUCAGAAAGCCACGGCUAACUACGUG